rnacentral:tRNA from 1 species
GCCUUCGUGGUGUAAUUGUCAGCACACUCGGCGCGUAUUCGAGAGGCCCGUGGUUCGAGUCUCGGCGAGGGCA